AUGCAUGUCUAAGUACAAGCCAGUCUAAGGUGAAACCGCGAAUGGCUCAUUAAAUCACACCUGAUGUACCGGACGUUUCCACUUACUUGGAUAACUGCGGUAAUUCUGGAGCUAAUACAUGCCUAAAAGCCCUGACUCACGGAGGGGCGCAUUUAUUAGAUCAAAACCAAACGGCUCUGCCGUCCCACUUGGUGAUUCUGAAUAACUUGCUGAUGAUUAUGGCUCAACGCCGAUCACAUGUCCGUCCAAGGUGUGCCCUAUCAACUGUCGACUGUGGCAUAGACGCCCACAGUGGUUUUGACGGGUAACGGGGAAUUAGGGUUCGAUUCCGGAGAGGGAGCCUGAGAAACGGCUACCACU
rnacentral:rRNA from 1 species